UACGUAGGUGGUUUUACAAGUCUAGGGUGAAAGGCAGUGGCUCAACCAUUGUUAGCCCUAGAAACUGUAUGACUUGAGUGCAGGAGAGGUAAGUGGAAUUCCUAGUGUAGCGGUGAAAUGCGUAGAUAUUAGGAGGAACACCAGUGGCGAAGGCGACUUACUGGACUGUUACUGACACUGAGGUACGAAAGCGUGGGGAGCGAACA
rnacentral:rRNA from 1 species